CAUCAUUAAAGAAAAUAGGGAUAAAAUAAGAGACAAGGCAUUGCUUCUCCCUUUUACGAGAAUAUGAGCACAUUAACUUUUCGGAAAAUAGCAGAAAACAGACGAUUUGCACCAGCUCCGUAAAUCCAUCACUGCACUGUAAUUCCAGGCCAGCUGUUGUCCAGAGUUUCAGUCUUAAAGAAUGAAUAAAUAAAAAAUGCAUCAUUUCUCCACAGGGCCUAGCUAUUCCUAACUGUUGGACAAACGGACUCAUUCAGGCAGCAAGUUAAUCCACCAUUUAAGGAAAAUGAAUUCAUUUUAUCCACAAGAACAUGAAGUGAUGGAAAUAAUUUGCACCUGCCCAGCAUUCCUACAGUCUGUCAUUGGAUUUGAAAAGAAAUGUUUAUUAAAUAAAUUUUCUAGAUAAAUAAUUUGACUUUUUCAUAUAUUUACUGUACAGGUGUUGAAAAGGCCAUUAAGAUUUGAAAAUCUUAACUUGCAUACUAUUUUGUGUGGAGGGUACUAAUGUCCAUCAAGAUCUUAUUUCCAGCAUGUGCAUUGUGUUCAUUUAUUUUUCAAUAAUAUGACCAAAAACAGGAGACUAGAGAUCCCCCUAAUUGAUUCAAAAUAGGAUAGGGGACCACCAUUUGUUCGGGGGGGGGGGGGGGCAGGCGAGUUUUUCCAAGUCAGAUUUUUUUUUCAUUUUCAUGUCAAUGAAGGAAAGAUUAAUAUUUAUUUCGGAUCAAUUAGAUGAAGGACAGAUUAUUUAUUUAUUUUCCUUUUCAUUGAAAAGUCUAACAUGCAAAAAA